rnacentral:lncRNA from 1 species
UUUAUUGACAUCGAUAUUAUCCCGAUAUUUCCAUCGAUAUUUCUGUGUUUUCAGACUACCGAUAUUUCCGAUAUUACCGAUAUUUAAUACCUUGCUUACGAGUGAGAGAAGAAGCUUUAAUUUGGGUUCACAAUUUUUCCCUUUGUAGAUUGUCAAUGUAGGACCGAGUUUUCAAAAGGCACUUCAGGCUCUGGAAAUUUUUUUUUGUUAUGCUUUUGUUAUCAUGUUCUAAAUUGUGCAAACCAUUUAUUUAAUUAGAGAAAAUUAAGCACAAUCCUACUUAUAUACAUAUUAUUAAUUUAAGAAACAAUUUUGUUAGUCUUUUCUAAGAAAAAUGAUAUAAGAAACUGCAAUUAUAUGGGUUUCAUUCUUCACUGAUUUAUGGGUUUAUGCCUAAGUCAUAAUCUAUGUGUAUUAUGUGUUUUCAUUAAUACUUUCUCAGAAUGUGCCUUCAUUAUUGAUUUCUGUUUAGCUCUAGAAAAAUUGUACAAAAAGGAGUAGAAAUAUUUUUAGGCAUCUUUUAACAGCCAUUUUGUUUCCCAAAUAUAGAAAACCCACAAACGUGAAAUGGGUUUUAGGUUUUUUAUUCAAAUGUGUAUUCGUACUAUUUUUCUCUGCCUAAAAAAUUGAAAUAAAUAUGAUCUUUUCACGAUUGCUUCUUCUUCCAAGUUUUUUUUUCCACAUAAUAUAAAAUAUAUAUA